rnacentral:tRNA from 1 species
GAUGAUGAUCCCAAGCCUUCUGGCGAUCUACACAAAAAGUCCACCGUGGACUUUGCAAAACGCUUUGCUUUAUAAAAUUGAAGCGUUCUACGAAGAGGAUGCCGGGGAAGGUUUUCCGGUUUAUCCCGGAGGGCUUGUAGCUCAGUUGGUUAGAGCGCGCGCUUGAUAAGCGUGAGGUCGGAGGUUCAAGUCCUCCCAGGCCCACCAAUUUACUCAUCGCUUUCAUCAGUGCUUUUUAAAAGACAUCCGUUUUUCUAAAAGAUUACUGCUGAAAAGCUUAAAAUUGGCACGCUUUUUGGUUUUGUAUGACACAUCCAAAGUGAAAGCAGCUUAAAGGCAAAAAGCAGUUCAAAUGCUAAAGUGCUCAGAACUUGAAAUUUCUUGCAAAGUGCUUUUUCUCAUGUUCAUUUGCUUGAUAUGAGUUGCUUAGUUUAUGCAAGGACAGAGAGUGUUUAUGCAAGGACAAAGUAUCCUGCAGAUCAAUGUUUUUAAUUUAAGGGCUUUUAAUUUAAGGCAUGUAAGUUCAAUGCUAUCGCUUUGGUUAAUAUGUUCCAUCCUUUUUUAAUCGUUUUAAACACUUAUCCUAUUUUAGGGGCCGUAGCUCAGCUGGGAGAGCACCUGCUUUGCAAGCAGGGGGUCGUCGGUUCGAUCCCGUCCGGCUCCACCAUGUGAUCAUCAUCAUUGUUGGAAGAACAUUGUUUUGCAAGAGGUUUUAGUGACUUCUUGCCUGUUCU